rnacentral:misc_RNA from 1 species
AGCAGCCGCGGUAAUUCCAGCUCCAAUAGCGUAUAUUAAAGUUGCUGCAGUUAAAAAGCUCGUAGUUGAAUUUCGGGACCAUCAUGUUGGUCGUGCCUCGGUACGUACUGGCAUUGUUGGUUUCUCCCUUCUGACGAACCAUGAUGUCAUUUAUUUGGUGUCGUGGGAAAUCAGGACUGUUACUUUGAAAAAUUAGAGUGUUUAAAGCAGGCUCACGCUUGAAUACAUUAGCAUGGAAUAAUGAAAUAGGACGUUUGAUUCUAUUUUGUUGGUUUCUAGGAUCGACGUAAUGAUUAAUAGGGAUAGUUGGGGGCAUUAGUAUUCAAUUGUCAGAGGUGAAAUUCUUGGAUUUAUUGAAGACUAACUACUGCGAAAGCAUUUGCCAAGGAUGUUUUCAUUAAUCAAGAACGAAAGUUAGGGGAUCGAAGACGAUCAGAUACCGUCGUAGUCUUAACCAUAAACUAUGCCGACUAGGGAUCGGAUGAUGUUAAUUUUUAAUGA